rnacentral:rRNA from 1 species
UUGACCUCGAAUCAGGUAGGGAUACCCGCUGAACUUAAGCAUAUCAAUAAGCGGAGGAAAAGAAACCAACCG